GGCCGGGGAGGGGGGGACCCGGCGGGACUCACGGAAGGAGGGAGGGGGCCGUGCUCAGCGCCCCGGACGGGCCACGGGGCCACAGGGCAACACGGCCACGCCGCAUGCCACAAGCCUGAGUGGGAGCGGAGCCGGCCGGCAGGCAGGGCAGCUCGGUCCCAGGAACCCUCUGGGAUGCCUGAGAGUAUCUGCCUCCUGCCCCCAGCCUGGCUCCCACCAUGAGCGCCGAGCUCAACGUGCCUGUGGACCCC